rnacentral:rRNA from 1 species
GCGAACAGACGAGGAGCUUGCUCCUCUGACGUUAGCGGCGGACGGGUGAGUAACACGUGGAUAACCUACCUAUAAGACUGGGAUAACUUCGGGAAACCGGAGCUAAUACCGGAUAAUAUAUUGAACCGCAUGGUUCAAUAGUGAAAGACGGUUUUGCUGUCACUUAUAGAUGGAUCCGCGCCGCAUUAGCUAGUUGGUAAGGUAACGGCUUACCAAGGCAACGAUGCGUAGCCGACCUGAGAGGGUGAUCGGCCACACUGGAACUGAGACACGGUCCAGACUCCUACGGGAGGCAGCAGUAGGGAAUCUUCCGCAAUGGGCGAAAGCCUGACGGAGCAACGCCGCGUGAGUGAUGAAGGUCUUCGGAUCGUAAAACUCUGUUAUUAGGGAAGAACAAAUGUGUAAGUAACUAUGCACGUCUUGACGGUACCUAAUCAGAAAGCCACGGCUAACUACGUGCCAGCAGCCGCGGUAAUACGUAGGUGGCAAGCGUUAUCCGGAAUUAUUGGGCGUAAAGCGCGCGUAGGCGGUUUUUUAAGUCUGGUGUGAAAGCCCACGGCUCAACCGUGGAGGGUCAUUGGAAACUGGAAAACUUGAGUGCAGAAGAGGAAAGUGGAAUUCCAUGUGUAGCGGUGAAAUGCGCAGAGAUAUGGAGGAACACCAGUGGCGAAGGCGACUUUCUGGUCUGUAACUGACGCUGAUGUGCGAAAGCGUGGGGAUCAAA